GUGGGGAAUAUUGGACAAUGGGGGAAACCCUGAUCCAGCCAUGCCGCGUGUGUGAAGAAGGCCUUCGGGUUGUAAAGCACUUUAAGCAGGGAGGAAAGGGUGUUGGCUAAUAUCCAGCAUCAUUGACGUUACCUGCAGAAUAAGCACCGGCUAACUUCGUGCCAGCAGCCGCGGUAAUACGAAGGGUGCAAGCGUUAAUCGGAAUUACUGGGCGUAAAGCGCGCGUAGGUGGUUUUGUAAGUUGGAGGUGAAAUCCCCGGGCUCAACCUGGGAACUGCCUCCAAAACUGCAUGACUAGAGGACGGUAGAGGGUAGUGGAAUUUCCUGUGUAGCGGUGAAAUGCGUAGAUAUAGGAAGGAACACCAGUGGCGAAGGCGACUACCUGGACUGAUACUGACACUGAGGUGCGAAAGCGUGGGGAGCAAACAGGAUUAGAAACCCGGGUAGUCC
rnacentral:rRNA from 1 species